UCGAGAGCUUAGAACUCUUCUCCACUCUCCAGAUCUUUUUAUGUUCUUCAUCUAAAUCCCCGAUCCCCCUCGAUCAGUCGAUCCCCAAUUCACUAACCCUAGUUCUAAGCUCUCUUCUCCACUCUCCAAAUCUUCUUCUACAUGUUCCUCAUCUAAAAUUCUAAAUCCCCGAUCCCAAAUUUCUUUCCAAUUUCCCUUCAUACAACAAGCAUGAUGAGAUGAGAGUGGAAGUAGCCUCAAGCCCUCAACUUACUUUAUUGUGAGGAUUUGAUUUUCAGCUUAAGCUUGUUCAAGCACCAUCCAAGACUCUAACUCUCUUAUCGAAGAGGAAGGUCAGAUAGCCGAAGGAGAAGCAUGUCACUCUUGGACAGUUGGACCUGCUGUUCGUGAUGGAGAGCAUGUUUUUGGUGUCGCUCACAUAAUUGCCUCAUUAAAUGAUACCUUCAUUCAUGUGACUGAUUUGUCUGGGAGGGAAACUCUUGUUCGCAUCACUGUUUCUCUAUUACCGACUUUAAAUGCUUGCUUAGAUCAUGAGAGCACUACCUCUUGUAGAAAUAUGCGUUCAACAAUCCCGAAAGCAAAG